rnacentral:rRNA from 1 species
GCGCGAAAACUUUACAAUGCUGGCAACAGCGAUAAGGGAACCUCGAGUGCCAGGUUACAAAUCUGGCUGUCGAGAUGCCUAAAAAGCAUUUCAUAGCAAGGGCCGGGCAAGACCGGUGCCAGCCGCCGCGGUAACACCGGCGGCUCGAGUGGUAACCGUUAUUAUUGGGUCUAAAGGGUCUGUAGCCGGCCGGAUAAGUCUCUUGAGAAAUCUGGCAGCUUAACUGUCAGGCUUUCAGGAGAUACUGUCUGGCUCGAGGCCGGGAGAGGUGAGAGGUACUUCAGGGGUGGGGGUGAAAUCUGGUAAUCCUUGAAGGACCACCAGGGGCGAGGUCGUCUCACCAGAACGGACCUGACGGCAAGGGACGAAAGCUAGGGGCACGAACC